rnacentral:rRNA from 1 species
UACGAAGGGGGCUAGCGUUGCUCGGAAUCACUGGGCGUAAAGUGCACGUAGGCGGCUUUCUAAGUCAGGGGUGAAAUCCUGGAGCUCAACUCCAGAACUGCCUUUGAUACUGGAGAGCUUGAGUCCGGAAGAGGUGAGUGGAACUCCGAGUGUAGAGGUGAAAUUCGUAGAUAUUCGGAAGAACACCAGUGGCGAAGGCGGCUCACUGGUCCGGUACUGACGCUGAGGUGCGAAAGCGUGGGGAGCAAACAGG